GAACGCGAAGAACCUUACCUGGGCUUGACAUCCCAAGAAUCCCCUGGAAACAGGGGAGUGCCCUUCGGGGAGCUUGGAGACAGGUGCUGCAUGGCUGUCGUCGGCUCGUGUCGUGAGAUGUUGGGUUAAGUCCCGCAACGAGCGCAACCCUUGCCUUUAGUUGCCAUCAUUCAGUUGGGCACUCUAAAGGGACUGCCGGUGUCAAACCGGAGGAAGGUGGGGAUGACGUCAAGUCCUCAUGGCCUUUAUGCCCAGGGCUACACACGUGCUACAAUGGGCGGUACAAAGAGCAGCGAGCUCGCGAGAGUAAGCAAAUCUCAAAAAGCCAUUCUCAGUUCGGAUUGGAGUCUGCAACUCGACUCCAUGAAGUCGGAAUCGCUAGUAAUCGCGAAUCAGCAUGUCGCGGUGAAUGCGUUCCCGGGUCUUGGUACACACCG
rnacentral:rRNA from 1 species